UCCCCAAUUUCACUCUUAUCUUUCUCUCCAUCUCUCAUCUCAAUUUCUCACCAAUAUUAUGCACAGUCGGGAAUCCUAUCCCUCUCCAAAAUUUCUCGCCGCAGUGAGGCGGCGCUCCGCCUCAGCCACGUCUCUCUCUUUUCUUCACCUCAUCUUCCUCUCUGGCAGCAGCACACACACACAUAUAUAAAAACCCUAGUUUCGUCCUCUCUCAAUUCCGGCAGAAUUGCCGCCGAAAUGCCGCUGCUUCCUGGAGCUCGUCCGUCGUGCCGUCGACCACCGCCGACGUCUUCUCCGCUUCGACGGAACAAGGCAGCAGCAGAAGAAAUCGAGCCUUCUCUUCUGAAGAAUCGCUGCGACUUGUGUCGUCGUCGGUGUCUUCUCUCUCUCUACCUCGACGACAAGGUGGCGACAGUAGCUGCCACGCCUCUCUCACCCUGCUCACCGCUUACUCUACUCCGUCGAGUUUUAAUCGACUCGGUCUCAAGCGGGGAUACGCCACUUAAAGGAAAGGGAAUGAAGCCCUAAUUUCGCCACCUCUAUCAUCUGCUAUCCCUAGGCGCCGCUACUGCACCGCCUGCCACGUCGCGCCGCCCUUCUUGUCUGCUAACCCUAGCCACCGCGACCAGCGCAGCCUGCUCGUCAUCGCCCCUCUCGUCUGCUAACCCUAGCCACCGCGACCAGCGCCACCUGCUCGUCGCCGCCCCUCUCGUCUGCUUACCCUAGCCACCGCGACCAGCGCCGCCUACUCGUCGCGCCCCUCUCAUUGUAUGUACAAUUUUCUAUUUUUGCACAUUAGUUUGUUCGAUUUUGUGUUUGAUUGCAUUGACAAAGUAAAUCUCUCGUUGUUGUAGGACAUGGAAUAUGGGUUGAGGUUAAUUGUUGCCUCUAAUUCAUGGAUUUUGCACUGAGUUUAUUUUGUUUUAUUUUAGAUUUGCUAUCUGUUUAGAAGAGAUUUAGUGUUUCUAAGGUUAGUUUUGCUUCUCGCUCCAUUGCUAUCAUCAGAGGUUAUUAAUUCUAGCUCUUCCCCUUCUACUAGAAAGCUGACUCACAUUUUUGUGCUUUUUAGAUUCUGUUUAAAGUGAGCUCUGUUUUUCUAUUGCAGAUUGAUUCCAUUUGCAUCUUACUUGAUGCUCGUAUAGUUGGGACUUUGGUGCAAUUUAUUUCUUCUUUCAUGUUCCUUAAGCUUGUUCCUAGCAAACACAUGGUAACAGUUUUGUGAUCUGAGGUUGGUAUGUUGGCCAGGUGCUUGUGCGCGCCGCUGGUUUCUAUCCGAGUCAGAAAGAUCAACAAGCAAGGAACAUUUCUGUCUUUAACCUCUGUAAGGUAAGUUUGCAGUAGUAUUCUUUUAGAGGAAUUGAUAUGGUUCAGUGCUUGUAAAAUAAUAUCACUUCCUUUCUAUUAAUCGGGCAGAUUGUCCAUAUCUGUAAUGUCGAAAGCUACCCUAAGCACAACUGUUGGAUGUUUAUCGUGUGAUGUAUGUUCAUCGUUUUCUCCAACAAUGCAAUUUGUUUAUCAGUAAGCAAUCAAUUAUUGAAAGUAUCCAAAAUAUGUGGAUAGUUAUUCUUGUUAUACCCAAUCGCAUUGUAGUGCAAUAGAUUUGUAAGCCUACUUGCUAUUUGGUAUCUGCUUUUGGUAUAAAUCUUCCCUUCAAUUAUAUUCAGUAUUGGGAUUGAUUGAA